CCAGACUCCUACGGGAGGCAGCAGUGGGGAAUAUUGCACAAUGGGGGAAACCCUGAUGCAGCGACGCCGCGUGAGUGAAGAAGUAUUUCGGUAUGUAAAGCUCUAUCAGCAGGGAAGAAAAUGACGGUACCUGACUAAGAAGCCCCGGCUAACUACGUGCCAGCAGCCGCGGUAAUACGUAGGGGGCAAGCGUUAUCCGGAUUUACUGGGUGUAAAGGGAGCGUAGACGGCAUGGCAAGUCAGGAGUGAAAGCCCGGGGCCCAACCCCGGGACUGCUCUUGGAACUGCAUGGCUGGAGUACAGGAGGGGCAGGCGGAAUUCCUAGUGUAGCGGUGAAAUGCGUAGAUAUUAGGAGGAACACCGGUGGCGAAGGCGGCCUGCUGGACUGUGACUGACGUUGAGGCCCGAAGGCGUGGGGAGCAAACAGGAUUAGAUACCCCGGUAUG
rnacentral:rRNA from 1 species